rnacentral:rRNA from 1 species
GACGAACGCUGGCGGCAUGCCUAAUACAUGCAAGUCGAGCGAACAUUAUAAGGAGCUUGCUUCUUAUAAUGUUAGCGGCGGAUGGGUGAGUAACACGUGGGCAACCUGCCCUGCAGAUGGGGAUAACUCCGGGAAACCGGGGCUAAUACCGAAUAAUCAGUUUGUUCGCAUGAACAAACUCUGAAAGACGGCUUACGCUGUCACUGCAGGAUGGGCCCGCGGCGCAUUAGCUAGUUGGUGGGAUAACAGCCUACCAAGGCGACGAUGCGUAGCCGACCUGAGAGGGUGAUCGGCCACACUGGGACUGAGACACGGCCCAGACUCCUACGGGAGGCAGCAGUAGGGAAUCUUCCACAAUGGAUGAAAGUCUGAUGGAGCAAUGCCGCGUGAGUGAAGAAGGUUUUCGGAUCGUAAAACUCUGUUGUG